rnacentral:lncRNA from 1 species
CCCUGGGUUUCUACAGUACGCGCAUAAUCUCUGUUUACUAUCCCUCUCCUGAAUAUCCAUGUUGUUCCUUAUCUUUAUGGAAUUUAGGCGACCAAUUCAUCGUCGAAGUACGUUGGGUGCAUUUCCACAUUAGUUUUAAAACUUAGUACAUACCGAUCCAAUACCAGACACCAUUGCCACAGAUAGUUGUACGAACAUCUGGCUCCUCCCCAUCAACUGCAUCUGCUGCCCUUCUUCCUCACCUGUAUCUUCCACAGCCACCCUUCUUCAUUGACCGCAUUUUCUUCCCCGAUCGUAUUUUUUUCCUCAUCUGCACCUUCAUUAUCACCUUCAAGUAAGGAGUUAGACGUACCCUCAUCGAUCCUCGUUGAAAGGAUUAGGUCAUUGAUUCUCUUGUAACCCUAUGUGCCCAUAAAAAAAUGAACCGGUUUGAUGUCAGUGUACAUCAAUGAUCCCCCCGUAUAACUGCUUUCGCCCCAUGACAUCGACCUAGUGUCGAAGUUAAAAUUAAACACAUUGAUUGAAUGUCGAGCCCGAGUGUCCAAAUUGGGGUUAUGCUCAAGCCUCGACAAGUACUGGCCACCAAAGUUUAGAUCCGUGCCAAAGAUUGAUGAGUGUCUCCCCAACGAUGUUCGGAAAUUAAUUUCUUUUCUCAUGAAGCUUGUCAUAAUUAAUUUUAAAUUUUAAGAGUUGGCUGCAGCACAAUUAAAGGAAAGAGAAAUAAUUAAUUAUUUGACAUUUCUCUUGAAGCUUGCCUGCAAUUAUUAUUUUUAUUUAAAGAGUUACAGUAAAUUUUUUUCUUUUUGUCAGCCAAAAUUAUUUUAAAAUUAAAAUUUAAAAUUUUUCUACGCCACAGUUAGUUCUUUCUCUUUUCUUGAGCUCUUUUAAAGAAAUAUGUUUACAAUUAAUUUCCUUUCCAAUAAAGUUUGUUAUUUUCAUUAUAGUCUUUUAUAGUUUUCUUUCCAUAUAACUAUUUUUCAAAUAGAAAAUUAUAUUUCAUGCACCAUUAUCACCCUUUCUUAUUUAAAAAAAAAUAAAGCCCAAAAAAAAUAAAAAAAAUUCUCAUAUUCACCUGUAAAACACAGUUGGAGAAUCUAGAAACUCCGACGAUGUAAAGUUGAAUCGAUGCAUCCCCCACCA